UACGUAGGGUGCAAGCGUUAAUCGGAAUUACUGGGCGUAAAGCGUGCGCAGGCGGUUUUGUAAGCCAGAUGUGAAAUUCCCGGGCUUAACCUGGGAAUGGCAUUUGGGACUGCAAGGCUGGAGUGUGGCAGAGGAGACUGGAAUUCCCGGUGUAGCAGUGAAAUGCGUAGAUAUCGGGAGGAAUACCGAUGGCGAAGGCAGGUCUCUGGGCUGACACUGACGCUCAUGCACGAAAGCGUGGGGAGCAAACAGG
rnacentral:rRNA from 1 species